AUGAACGCGCCCUUAUCGGAUCUUAUGAAGAAUACCACCGGCACUGAUU
rnacentral:snoRNA from 2 species